rnacentral:rRNA from 1 species
UACAUGGGGUGCAAACGUUGCUCGGAAUUAUUGGGCGUAAAGCGCGCGUAGGCGGUUAUUUAAGUCGGAUGUGAAAGCCCUCGGCUUAACUGAGGAAGUGCACCCGAAACUGGAUAGCUAGAGUACGAAAGAGGGUCGCGGAAUUCCCGGUGUAGAGGUGAAACUCGUAGAUAUCGGGAGGAACACCGGUGGCGAAGGCGGCGACCUGGGUCGAGACUGACGCUGAGGCGCGAAAGCGUGGGGAGCAAACAGG